rnacentral:rRNA from 1 species
GACGAACGCUGGCGGCGUGCUUAACACAUGCAAGUAGAACGAAGUGGCGAAAGGGUGAGUAAUACGAGGGUAACCUGCCCUCAUUUUUGGGAUAAGCCUUGGAAACGGGGACUAAUACCGAAUAUAGGGGGAUGGGCUCGCGGCCUAUCAGCUUGUUGGUGGGGUGAUGGCCUACUAAGGCGGUGACGGGUAGCCGGCCUGAGAGGGUGCUCGGCCACAUUGGGACUUGGCUACGGCCCAGACUCCUACUGGAGGCAGCAGUGGGGGAUAUUGCACAAUGGGCGAAAGCCUGAGGCAGCGACGCCGCGUGGGGGAUGAAGGCUUUCGGGUUGUAAACCUCUUUCGCUAUCGAACGUUUAGUUUUCGAAGAAGCGCCGGCUAACUACGUGCCAGCAGCCGCGGUAAUUC